AUUCCGUUAUGAGGAAACUUCUGUAAUAAUUCUUUGUACCUUUCCCAUGCCUCAUACAAAGACUCAUCAUCCAUUUUUUGGAAAGUAGUGAUCUCGUUCCUCAACUU
rfam:Gossypium hirsutum cultivar TM-1 chromosome 2, whole genome shotgun sequence